UUUAAGAAAUACAUUUUAAAUGCAUUGUGUGUCUAGUAAUGGAUUGGAAGCAGUCUUAGAAAACUACAGCAUAGAAUAGAUAAAUGUUUCCUAGUUGAUGAUCCUCAACUUUUAUUCUGGAACUAGAAGAUACAGCAAUUGUUGCUCCUGCAAUAUAUUUGCAAAGCACUUAGCUUCCUGGAAAAGCAAUAAGAGAGAAGGAGGCUGGUAUCCUGGAGGAUGAC
rnacentral:lncRNA from 1 species